rnacentral:rRNA from 1 species
UUAAGUUAUUAAGGGCGCACGGUGGAUGCCUUGGCACUAGAAGCCGAUGAAGGACGUUACUAACGACGAUAUGCUUUGGGGAGCUGUAAGUAAGCUUUGAUCCAGAGAUUUCCGAAUGGGGAAACCCAGCAUGAGUUAUGUCAUGUUAUCGAUAUGUGAAUACAUAGCAUAUCAGAAGGCACACCCGGAGAACUGAAACAUCUUAGUACCCGGAGGAAGAGAAAGAAAAUUCGAUUCCCUUAGUAGCGGCGAGCGAAACGGGAAGAGCCCAAACCAACAAGCUUGCUUGUUGGGGUUGUAGGACACUCUAUACGGAGUUACAAAGGACGACAUUAGACGAAUCAUCUGGAAAGAUGAAUCAAAGAAGGUAAUAAUCCUGUAGUCGAAAAUGUUGUCUCUCUUGAGUGGAUCCUGAGUACGACGGAGCACGUGAAAUUCCGUCGGAAUCUGGGAGGACCAUCUCCUAAGGCUAAAUACUCUCUAGUGACCGAUAGUGAACCAGUACCGUGAGGGAAAGGUGAAAAGCACCCCGGAAGGGGAGUGAAAUAGAACCUGAAACCGUGUGCUUACAAGUAGUCAGAGCCCGUUAAUGGGUGAUGGCGUGCCUUUUGUAGAAUGAACCGGCGAGUUACGAUUUGAUGCAAGGUUAAGCAGUAAAUGUGGAGCCGUAGCGAAAGCGAGUCUGAAUAGGGCGUUUAGUAUUUGGUCGUAGACCCGAAACCAGGUGAUCUACCCUUGGUCAGGUUGAAGUUCAGGUAACACUGAAUGGAGGACCGAACCGACUUACGUUGAAAAGUGAGCGGAUGAACUGAGGGUAGCGGAGAAAUUCCAAUCGAACCUGGAGAUAGCUGGUUCUCUCCGAAAUAGCUUUAGGGCUAGCCUCAAGUGAUGAUUAUUGGAGGUAGAGCACUGUUUGGACGAGGGGCCCCUCUCGGGUUACCGAAUUCAGACAAACUCCGAAUGCCAAUUAAUUUAACUUGGGAGUCAGAACAUGGGUGAUAAGGUCCGUGUUCGAAAGGGAAACAGCCCAGACCACCAGCUAAGGUCCCAAAAUAUAUGUUAAGUGGAAAAGGAUGUGGCGUUGCCCAGACAACUAGGAUGUUGGCUUAGAAGCAGCCAUCAUUUAAAGAGUGCGUAAUAGCUCACUAGUCGAGUGACACUGCGCCGAAAAUGUACCGGGGCUAAACAUAUUACCGAAGCUGUGGAUUGUCCUUUGGACAAUGGUAGGAGAGCGUUCUAAAGGCGUUGAAGCAUGAUCGUAAGGACAUGUGGAGCGCUUAGAAGUGAGAAUGCCGGUGUGAGUAGCGAAAGACGGGUGAGAAUCCCGUCCACCGAUUGACUAAGGUUUCCAGAGGAAGGCUCGUCCGCUCUGGGUUAGUCGGGUCCUAAGCUGAGGCCGACAGGCGUAGGCGAUGGAUAACAGGUUGAUAUUCCUGUACCACCUAUAAUCGUUUUAAUCGAUGGGGGGACGCAGUAGGAUAGGCGAAGCGUGCGAUUGGAUUGCACGUCUAAGCAGUAAGGCUGAGUAUUAGGCAAAUCCGGUACUCGUUAAGGCUGAGCUGUGAUGGGGAGAAGACAUUGAGUCUUCGAGUCGUUGAUUUCACACUGCCGAGAAAAGCCUCUAGAUAGAAAAUAGGUGCCCGUACCGCAAACCGACACAGGUAGUCAAGAUGAGAAUUCUAAGGUGAGCGAGCGAACUCUCGUUAAGGAACUCGGCAAAAUGACCCCGUAACUUCGGGAGAAGGGGUGCUCUUUAGGGUUAACGCCCAGAGGAGCCGCAGUGAAUAGGCCCAAGCGACUGUUUAUCAAAAACACAGGUCUCUGCUAAACCGUAAGGUGAUGUAUAGGGGCUGACGCCUGCCCGGUGCUGGAAGGUUAAGAGGAGUGGUUAGCUUCUGCGAAGCUACGAAUCGAAGCCCCAGUAAACGGCGGCCGUAACUAUAACGGUCCUAAGGUAGCGAAAUUCCUUGUCGGGUAAGUUCCGACCCGCACGAAAGGCGUAACGAUUUGGGCACUGUCUCAACGAGAGACUCGGUGAAAUCAUAGUACCUGUGAAGAUGCAGGUUACCCGCGACAGGACGGAAAGACCCCGUGGAGCUUUACUGUAGCCUGAUAUUGAAAUUCGGCACAGCUUGUACAGGAUAGGUAGGAGCCUUUGAAACGUGAGCGCUAGCUUACGUGGAGGCGCUGGUGGGAUACUACCCUAGCUGUGUUGGCUUUCUAACCCACACCACUUAUCGUGGUGGGAGACAGUGUCAGGCGGGCAGUUUGACUGGGGCGGUCGCCUCCUAAAAGGUAACGGAGGCGCUCAAAGGUUCCCUCAGAAUGGUUGGAAAUCAUUCAUAGAGUGUAAAGGCAUAAGGGAGCUUGACUGCGAGACCUACAAGUCGAGCAGGGUCGAAAGACGGACUUAGUGAUCCGGUGGUUCCGCAUGGAAGGGCCAUCGCUCAACGGAUAAAAGCUACCCCGGGGAUAACAGGCUUAUCUCCCCCAAGAGUUCACAUCGACGGGGAGGUUUGGCACCUCGAUGUCGGCUCAUCGCAUCCUGGGGCUGUAGUCGGUCCCAAGGGUUGGGCUGUUCGCCCAUUAAAGCGGUACGCGAGCUGGGUUCAGAACGUCGUGAGACAGUUCGGUCCCUAUCCGUCGUGGGCGUAGGAAAUUUGAGAGGAGCUGUCCUUAGUACGAGAGGACCGGGAUGGACAUACCUCUGGUGUACCAGUUGUCGUGCCAACGGCAUAGCUGGGUAGCUAUGUGUGGACGGGAUAAGUGCUGAAAGCAUCUAAGCAUGAAGCCCCCCUCAAGAUGAGAUUUCCCAACUUCGGUUAUAAGAUCCCUCAAAGAUGAUGAGGUUAAUAGGUUCGAGGUGGAAGCAUGGUGACAUGUGGAGCUGACGAAUACUAAUCGAUCGAAGACUUAAUCAA